UGACGUGCUUGCACUGAUUUCAACAAUGAAGCGAGUGGCGAACUGGUGAGUAACACGUGGGAAAUCUGCCCAGAAGCAGGGGAUAACACUUGGAAACAGGUGCUAAUACCGUAUAACAACAAANUCCGCAUGGAUUUUGUUUGAAAGGUGGCUUCGGCUAUCACUUCUGGAUGAUCCCGCGGCGUAUUAGUUAGUUGGUGAGGUAAAGGCCCACCAAGACGAUGAUACGUAGCCGACCUGAGAGGGUAAUCGGCCACAUUGGGACUGAGACACGGCCCAAACUCCUACGGGAGGCAGCAGUAGGGAAUCUUCCACAAUGGACGAAAGUCUGAUGGAGCAAUGCCGCGUGAGUGAAGAAGGGUUUCGGCUCGUAAAACUCUGUUGUUAAAGAAGAACACCUUUGAGAGUAACUGUUCAAGGGUUGACGGUAUUUAACCAGAAAGCCACGGCUAACUACGUGCCAGCAGCCGCGGUAAUACGUAGGUGGCAAGCGUUGUCCGGAUUUAUUGGGCGUAAAGCGAGCGCAGGCGGUUUUUUAAGUCUGAUGUGAAAGCCUUCGGCUUAACCGGAGAAGUGCAUCGGAAACUGGGAGACUUGAGUGCAGAAGAGGACAGUGGAACUCCAUGUGUAGCGGUGGAAUGCGUAGAUAUAUGGAAGAACACCAGUGGCGAAGGCGGCUGUCUAGUCUGUAACUGACGCUGAGGCUCGAAAGCAUGGGUAGCGAACAGGAUUAGAUACCCUGGUAGUCCAUGCCGUAAACGAUGAGUGCUAAGUGUUGGAGGGUUUCCGCCCUUCAGUGCUGCAGCUAACGCAUUAAGCACUCCGCCUGGGGAGUACGACCGCAAGGUUGAAACUCAAAGGAAUUGACGGGGGCCCGCACAAGCGGUGGAGCAUGUGGUUUAAUUCGAAGCUACGCGAAGAACCUUACCAGGUCUUGACAUCUUCUGCCAAUCUUAG
rnacentral:rRNA from 2 species